UGUAACAUGUUCGUUUUGAAAAUAAUAAACCGUUAAAUUUGAAUAUUUAUGUGAAAGUAUAGGGAAUGAAAAGGAUUAGUUACCCUUGUAAGCUAUACCGCAAAUCAUGGUUAAUUUUAUAGAAUAUUAAACAUUAUUAACUUACCGGGGGAAAACAACCGCAAGGUUUAAACUUACAAAAAUUGGCGGGACUUAAUAUGUGGUGGAAUAUGUGGUUUAAUUCGGUAAUCCUCGCAAAACCUUACUAAUAUCAAUAAACUAUUUCUUUAAAAAGCAUAAAGAUUUUAUUUUAUUGGAGUAUUGCAUGGCUGUUGUCAGUUCGUAUUGUGAAAUGUAGCAUUUAGUUGUGUAACGAACGCAAAUCAAUUUAUAAAACUUAGCGGCGGCGAUUUUUAUAUAACGCUAAUUACACCCUAAAAAAUUUAAUGUGUGCACUUGUGCACCGCUUAUGUAAUUGGUUUAAAAAUUAAAGUUGGCUAACAUCUUUAAAAAAUAGAUAAUCACGGAGAUUGUAAUAUGUUUAUUUUAUUUACUUCUUUGAAAAAUGUAAGCGAAGUGUGCUGUGGAUGGUGCUAAAUAGGGUAGGUUUCUUGGACAAGUAUAUUUAGUUUUGUGCUAUUAAAAACCGCGCAAAGACGUGCAACCUAGAUUCUGGAUACUUAAUAGCAAGUGACGUUAAAAUAGAACGCUUCGCAUAAAACUAUAUUGCAGUCACUAUCAAGAGCUUAUCCUUGAAUACCGGAAAGGUACGAAACUUGGGUUAUUCUAUUUUUUAAAAUACUUUUGAUCGAAAGCAAGUCAGUAUGAUCUCUUUAUAUUAGGCUACACACGUAUUACAUUAAAAAAAAACAAAAAUAAAAAAUAUAGUGAUAUAUUUUAAAUAAAAAUUUUUAUGUUUGGAUAAAAGUUUGCAACUCAACUUUUUGAAAUAGAAAUUACCAGUAAUCGUACAAUAGGAAGGUACGGUGAAGUGAACUUAUAGUUUGCACACACUGCCCAUCACGCUCAGAGAGUUAUUUUAGCUUAAAGUGUGGGUGUUUGGUAGAGAAUUUUUACUGAACCCUCUUCACAUAAAACUAACGUAGCAAUUCGAGUGAAG
rnacentral:rRNA from 1 species